UCCUCGUUAGUAUAGUGGUCAGUAUCCCCGCCUGUCACGCGGGAGACCGGGGUUUGAUUCCCUGACGGGGAG
rnacentral:tRNA from 1 species